UACGUAGGGUGCGAGCGUUGUCCGGAAUUAUUGGGCGUAAAGAGCUCGUAGGCGGUGUGUCGCGUCGGUCGUGAAAACUUGGGGCUUAACUCUGAGCUUGCGGUCGAUACGGGCAUCACUGGAGUUCGGCAGGGGAGACUGGAAUUCCUGGUGUAGCGGUGAAAUGCGCAGAUAUCAGGAGGAACACCGGUGGCGAAGGCGGGUCUCUGGGCCGAUACUGACGCUGAGGAGCGAAAGCAUGGGGAGCGAACAGG
rnacentral:rRNA from 1 species